GUCCAGGACCUUCAGUAGAAUGUUGAACAAAUUGGAUAAACUGAUGGAAAGUUGAGAGCCUGAGACUCAGAAGGCAACUUCUGCAGGUGACUCCUGCUGCUGGGAACUGGAAGGAGAGCAGUGCACUGGAGCACUGGAGCAAGCACAAUGGACUCUGGCUUCACCUCCAAGGACACGUACCUGAGCCACUUUAACCCACGGGAUUAUCUAGAAAAAUAUUACAACUUUGGGUCCAAACAAUCAGCAGAAAAUAAGAUUCUUAGACAUGUUCUGCAAAGCCUUUUCAGGAUAUUCUGUGUAGAUGGCGUGAAGGGAGACCUCCUGAUUGACAUUGGCUCUGGACCCACCAUCUAUCAGCUCCUCUCUGCUUGUGAGUCCUUCAAGGAGAUCAUCGCCUCUGACUACACUGACCAGAACCUGAAAGAGCUGGAGAAAUGGCUGAAGAAGGAGCCAGGGGCCUUUGACUGGACCCAGUAGUGAACUACGUGUGUGAGCUCGAAGGGAGCAGAGUGAAGGGCCCGGAGAAAGAGGAGAAACUGAGGCGGAUGGUCAAGCAGGUUCUCAAGUGUGAUGUAACCCAGACCCGGCCUCUGGGUGCGGCCCGCCUGGCGCUGGCUGACUGCCUGCUCAGCACACUGUGCCUAGACGCCGCCUGCCCCGACCUCCCCACCUACCACAAAGCCCUCAGGAACCUGAGUAGCCUCCUGAAACCAGGGGGCUCCCUGGUGCUUGUGGAUGCCCUAAAGAGCAGCUACUACAUGAUUGGGGAGCAGAAGUUCUCCAGUCUCUCUCUGGACCAAGAGGUCAUCAAGGAGGCCGUGACCAAGGCUGGCUUCACCAUCGAACAAUUUGAAGUGAUCACUCAAAAUUAUUCUUCUGCCAACAAUGAGGGACUUUUCUGCCUGGUGGGGCGGAAGCUGAGCUGAUCUGUGGGGCACCUCAGGGGUACAAUUAAA